rnacentral:rRNA from 1 species
CGGUAAUACGGAGGGUGCAAGCGUUAAUCGGAAUUACUGGGCGUAAAGCGUGCGUAGGUGGUUUGUUAAGUUAGAUGUGAAAGCCCUGGGCUCAACCUAGGAACUGCAUUUAAAACUGGCGAACUAGAGUAUAGGAGAGGAAAGUGGAAUUUCAGGUGUAGCGGUGAAAUGCGUAGAUAUCUGAAGGAACAUCAAUGGCGAAGGCAGCUUUCUGGACUAAUACUGACACUGAGGUACGAAAGCGUGGGUAGCAAACAGGAUUAGAUACCCUGGUAGUCCACGCCGUAAACGAUGACAACUAGCCGUUGGGAGGAUUUACCUCUUAGUGGCGAAGCUAACGCGUUAAGUUGUCCGCCUGGGGAGUACGGCCGCAAGGCUAAAACUCAAAGGAAUUGACGGGGACCCGCACAAGCGGUGGAGCAUGUGGUUUAAUUCGAUGCAACGCGAAGAACCUUACCUGGUCUUGACAUACACGGAACUUUCCAGAGAUGGAUUGGUGCCUUCGGGAAACCGUGAUACAGGUGCUGCAUGGCUGUCGUCAGCUCGUGUCGUGAGAUGUUGGGUUAAGUCCCGUAACGAGCGCAACCCUUAUCCUUAUUUGCCAGCACAUCAUGGUGGGAACUAUAAGGAGACUGCCGGUGAUAAACCGGAGGAAGGCGGGGACGACGUCAAGUCAUCAUGGCCCUUACGACCAGGGCUACACACGUGCUACAAUGGGAAGGACAAAGGGUCGCAACCUCGCGAGAGCAAGCUAAUCUCAUAAACCUUUUCGUAGUCCGGAUCGGAGUCUGCAACUCGACUCCGUGAAGUCGGAAUCGCUAGUAAUCGUGGAUCAGAAUGCCACGGUGAAUACGUUCCCGGG